rnacentral:lncRNA from 1 species
ACGGCGUUGACCCGGUUGAAACGGGCGUCGACGCGGGUGCUGGAAGAACGGUUUGAAGCGAAACUCGGUGUAGCGUUUACUCGAGUAAACAUUUGUUUGAAAUGCAAAGACGCGGGAGGCGGAACGCGUUGAAGAAGUCACGU